rnacentral:rRNA from 1 species
UACGAAGGGGGGCUAGCGUUGCUCGGAAUGACUGGGCGUAAAGGGCGCGUAGGCGGCUUACAUAGUCAGGCGUGAAAUUCCUGGGCUCAACCUGGGGGCUGCGUUUGAUACGUGUAGGCUUGAGUUCGGAAGAGGGUCGUGGAAUUCCCAGUGUAGAGGUGAAAUUCGUAGAUAUUGGGAAGAACACCGGUGGCGAAGGCGGCGACCUGGUCCGAUACUGACGCUGAGGCGCGAAAGCGUGGGGAGCAAACAGG